rnacentral:rRNA from 1 species
GGGCCAGUAGGUUGGUCGUGCCACCGGUACGUACUGGUCUCACUGAUUCCUCCUUCCUGAAGAACCGUAAUGCCAUUAAUUUGGUGUUGCGGGGAAUCAGGACUGUUACUUUGAAAAAAUUAGAGUGUUUAAAGCAAGCUAACGCUUGAAUACAUUAGCAUGGAAUAAUGAAAUAGGACGAUCGAUCCUAUUUUGUUGGUUUCUAGGAUUGACGUA